rnacentral:rRNA from 1 species
UNUGGUCUGUCACUGACGCUGAGGCUNGAAAGCGUGGGUAGCGAACAGGAUUAGAUACCCUGGUAGUCCACGCCGUAAACGAUGAGUGCUAGGUGUUAGGCCCUUUCCGGGGCUUAGUGCCGGAGCUAACGCAAUAAGCANUCCGCCUGGGGAGUACGACCGCAAGGUUGAAACUCAAAGGAAUUGACGGGGGCCCGCACAAGCGGUGGAGCAUGUGGUUUAAUUCGAAGCAACGCGAAGAACCUUACCAGGUCUUGACAUCCCGAUGCUAUUCUUAGAGAUAGGAAGUUACUUCGGUACAUCGGAGACAGGUGGUGCAUGGUUGUCGUCAGCUCGUGUCGUGAGAUGUUGGGUUAAGUCCCGCAACGAGCGCAACCCUUAUUGUUAGUUGCCAUCAUUAAGUUGGGCACUCUAGCGAGACUGCCGGUAAUAAACCGGAGGAAGGUGGGGAUGACGUCAAAUCAUCAUGCCCCUUAUGACCUGGGCUACACACGUGCUACAAUGGUCGGUACAACGAGUUGCGAGCCGGUGACGGCAAGCUAAUCUCUGAAAGCCGAUCUCAGUUCGGAUUGGAGGCUGCAACUCGCCUCCAUGAAGUCGGAAUCGCUAGUAAUCGCGGAUCAGCACGCCGCGGUGAAUACGUUCCCGGGCCUUGUACACACCGCCCGUCACACCACGAGAGUUUGUAACACCCGAAGUCGGUGAGGUAACCUUUUAGGGNC